rnacentral:rRNA from 1 species
GAGGCUAAUACCGGAUACUCCCUCCCCCUGCUCCUGCAGGGGUCGGGAAAGCCCAGGCGGAGGGGGAUGGGGUCGCGGCCCAUUAGGUAGUAGGCGGGGUAACGGCCCACCUAGCCCGCGAUGGGUAGCCGGGUUGAGAGACCGACCGGCCACAUUGGGACUGAGAUACGGCCCAGACUCCUACGGGAGGCAGCAUG